GCUGGGCAUAGUGGGGUAUGCCUGUAGUCCCAGCCACUUGGGAGGCUGAGGUGGGAGGAUCACUUGAGCCCAGGAUUUCAAGGCUCUGAUGAGCUAUGAUCACGCCACUGCAUUCCAGCAUGAGUGACAGAGCAAGACUCUGUUUCUAAAAAAUAAUAAAUAGGCCAGGCGUGGUGGCUCAUGCCUGUGACCCCAGCACUUUGGGAGGCUGAGGUGGGUGGAUCACCUGAGGUCAGGGGUUCAAAACCAGCCUGGCCAACACGGUGAAGCCCCGUCUUU
rnacentral:sRNA from 1 species